GCAAGUCGAGCGGUAACAGAUCUAGCUUGCUAGAUGCUGACGAGCGCGGACGGGUGAGUAAUGCAUAGGAAUCUGCCCGGUAGUGGGGGAUAACCUGGGGAAACCCGGGCUAAUACCGCAUACGUCCUACGGGAGAAAGGGGGCUUUGGCUCCCGCUAUUGGAUGAGCCUAUGUCGGAUUAGCUAGUUGGUGAGGUAAAGGCUCACCAAGGCAACGAUCCGUAGCUGGUCUGAGAGGAUGAUCAGCCACAUCGGGACUGAGACACGGCCCGAACUCCUACGGGAGGCAGCAGUGGGGAAUAUUGGACAAUGGGGGCAACCCUGAUCCAGACAUGCCGCGUGUGUGAAGAAGGCCCUCGGGUUGUAAAGCACUUUCAGCGAGGAAGAACGCCUAGUGGUUAAUACCCAUUAGGAAAGACAGGCUCGCAGA
rnacentral:rRNA from 1 species